UACGAAGGGGGCUAGCGUUGCUCGGAUUGACUGGGCGUAAAGGGCGCGUAGGCGGUUCGUACAGUCAGACGUGAAAUUCCUGGGCUCAACCUGGGGGCUGCGUUUGAUACGUGCGGACUUGAGUGCGGAAGAGGGUCGUGGAAUUCCCAGUGUAGAGGUGAAAUUCGUAGAUAUUGGGAAGAACACCAGUGGCGAAGGCGGCUAUCUGGACGGUUUCUGACGCUAAGACGCGAAAGCGUGGGGAGCAAACAGG
rnacentral:rRNA from 1 species